AACAAGACAGAAAAGGCAGAGGAUGAUUUCUGUUCUUCCUCUAGGCUUGCAGGUGCCCUCACCUCCAGUGGCAUCCAUCCAGACACCAGCACUGACACUGGCCGUGCUCAGAACUGCCUCAGCCCUGAAGAUACAACUGACAAAUAGAAGGGGGCCAUGCCCUGUUACAGCAGGUGCUCUCACUUUGUGGGUCCUUAUGUAACUGUGCGUUGUUAUUCAGGAUCGCCCAUUCUACAUUGUGUGACGCUGCUGCGGUGUCUCCUAGUUAUUUGUUUCUGAUCUGAGAAGCAGGAGCAAGGAACUCAGGGAGAGAUCCAGGAAGACAUCUGACUCUGUUAAGAGACGACAGUCACAGCGACACGGGGAGCGAAGACACGUGCAGCAAAGCAAAAUGACUUCACAACGAUUGCAUCAGAGCUGCAGGUGUGAGAGAGCCUAAGCCUGUCUCAGAGUGCAGGGGACAAGUGGAAAGGAAUGUGUAAGAAUGCCGGUGACUCAGUUAGAAGCAUGCUUCGAAGCUGUCCGUGUCCUUGCCACCCAGAAGCAGAGCCUGGGGGCUACAGAAUUUCUCCAGAAUGCAGUUUACAUUCACCUUGACAAGUGAGUUAUGUCCUUUUACAAGUGGAGGAAUUGCUGCCGUUUCCCUGGAACUUACUCACCACUAGUGUAUAUGAUUUUCCUUUGCUAGGAUUCAGUAUAGCCUGCUAAAAAUUCUGGAGGCAGAUCUUGAAACCCUGAUGAAGAGGAUUAUUUAUUUUAUUUCUUUAUAUGAUAGUAUUUUACUUUCAAAAUUCAGAGUUUUCAGUUCAUUGAGGAAUUUUUUCGGGGGUUGGAGAAUCAACGUUUCUCUUACCAUCUUUGUGACCUGUUGCUAUAUGCCUCUCACCUGUCUUCUGUCACUUAUGAGGCAGUUCCAUUUGUGACCCUGUGCGGGUUGUUCAUGUUAAAAAAUAUAAAUUCUGUAAAACUACAUUCCCUUUUACUCCGAAGACAUUCCACAAGUACUACUUAAAUCUGGGUGUGGUUUUUAGAAGACAGAAUCAUUAGAACAUGUACUUGCAGGUUGCUAGUGCAAAAUCCCCAAAUCAAUAGUCUAGCUCAACAUCUAAAAUCUUUCUAAUCUACCUUGGAUUUGUAUGGAUAAGUGAAGCAGUUUGCUAAGAAAUCAAGACCAGGUUUAGAAUACAGGCUGGUGUAGCUCAGCAGGUCCUCCCAUGCUGAUGCUCUGCCAGAGGGUGGGGCCAAGGGGAGAGGGCGUGUCCUGCCCUCCCUGAGCUGACAGUUUGAUGGCAAAGACCUUCACCAGGUGAAGAACUGGGAAUUUCUUCUAAGAAAAGUGGGUUUGAAAAGAGUCCUAAAAGCGCGGGAGUGACACAAUCCCAUUUGUCUCAAGUAGGGGAGAGUGGCUGUAGGGCCAAUUGGGAGACUCGUGAGUCCAGGAGUGCAGUGUUGGUGGCUUCCACUUGAGCGGUGGGACGGUCAGUGUGUUAAAGCGAACAGAUUGAAGACAUGUUUCGAUGGUAAAAAGGAAAGGAUGAAUGCUGUCUGUGAAGUUAGAAUGGAGUAAGGCCCAGGUUUCUGGGUGGAUUAAUGAGGUAUAUGAUAGUCCUGCUGUGCUGUGAUGAGGGAAACCUGCAGAGGGAGUUCUGGGGAAAAUCUGAUGAGUUCAGCUGUGGGUAAAUGAAAGGCUGUUAGAUGUGUGGACAUGGAGCUCUGGUGAGAGCCAGUAGUGAGUAGGGGGAGGGGAGAGAGUCUUUCAAAUCAUUUUGUCUUGUGAACAUACAAAUAAGGAUGAGCAAUGACACACUUAACACCUCCAUAUUCUGGAUUUAAAACCCAGUAACAUUUUGCAUUAUUGACUGCAGAGGUUCUUAAUUUUUUUAAGAGAAAUAAAAUAAAUAGAAACAAAAUAGUGGAGUUAAUCAACAUCUUAGAUUUGAUGUGUGUCCUUGUGUAUAUUUUGAUACCUCAUCUGUUUAUAACUAUAAUCUACAAAAAGUUAACUUGCUUAGCAUAAGAGUUAAACAGAGGGACGUGACACACACUGUUAGGGGUGGAAGCUGAUCACCUUGGGCAAAUUAUGUCACCUCUCUGUGCCUUAGUUGCAUCUUCUGUGACUGCCCCUGGGCCCCUUAUCACAGCUGAUUUCCUAGACUUGAUGUUGGGAGGGAGGCUGCUGAAGGGAUUAAGAAGUGGCAACUGCUAGGGAUACUGAAGAGUGAGACAAAAGCAGAUUAAAGCCUAUAAACUUAGUACAAAUACCCUCAAAAGAGAAAGAACCUUGCAGUGUUUUGAGCCACUUAGCGUAAGGAAAACAA